UCCACGCCGUAAACGAUGGUUACUAGCUGUUCGGAUUUCGGUCUGAGUGGCUAAGCGAAAGUGAUAAGUAACCCACCUGGGGAGUACGUUCGCAAGAAUGAAACUCAAAGGAAUUGACGGGGGCCCGCACAAGCGGUGGAGCAUGUGGUUUAAUUCGAUGAUACGCGAGGAACCUUACCAGGGCUUAAAUGUAGAUUGACAGGUUUAGAGAUAGACUUUUCUUCGGACAAUUUACAAGGUGCUGCAUGGUUGUCGUCAGCUCGUGCCGUGGGGUGUCAGGUUAAGUCCUAUAACGAGCGCAACCCCUGUUGUUAGUUGCCAUCGAGUAAUGUCGGGAACUCUAACAAGACUGCCGGUGACCAAACCGGCGGAA
rnacentral:rRNA from 1 species